UACGAAGGGGGCUAGCGUUGCUCGGAAUCACUGGGCGUAAAGGGCGCGUAGGCGGAUCUUUAAGUCAGAGGUGAAAGCCCAAUGCUCAACCUUGGAAUUGCCUUUGAUACUGAAGAUCUUGAGACCGGAAGAGGUUAGUGGAACUGCGAGUGUAGAGGUGAAAUUCGUAGAUAUUCGCAAGAACACCAGUGGCGAAGGCGGCUAACUGGUCCGGUUCUGACGCUGAGGCGCGAAAGCGUGGGGAGCAAACAGG
rnacentral:rRNA from 1 species